rnacentral:tRNA from 1 species
GUUUUAAUAAUUUAUAUAAAAAUAUUGGUCUUGUAAACCAAAAAAGAGAAAAUUCUCUUAAAACU